CAGAAUUUAGUUUAAGAAAAAUUUUAAUUUUGGAGAUUAAAGAUGACUAAUUUGUUUAUUCUGA
rnacentral:tRNA from 1 species